GAUGAACGCUGGCGGCGUGCCUAAUACAUGCAAGUCGAGCGAACGGACGAGAAGCUUGCUUCUCUGAUGUUAGCGGCGGACGGGUGAGUAACACGUGGAUAACCUACCUAUAAGACUGGGAUAACUUCGGGAAACCGGAGCUAAUACCGGAUAAUAUUUUGAACCGCAUGGUUCAAAAGUGAAAGACGGUCUUGCUGUCACUUAUAGAUGGAUCCGCGCUGCAUUAGCUAGUUGGUGAGGUAACGGCUUACCAAGGCAACGAUGCAUAGCCGACCUGAGAGGGUGAUCGGCCACACUGGAACUGAGACACGGUCCAGACUCCUACGGGAGGCAGCAGUAGGGAAUCUUCCGCAAUGGGCGAAAGCCUGACGGAGCAACGCCGCGUGAGUGAUGAAGGUCUUCGGAUCGUAAAACUCUGUUAUUAGGGAAGAACAUAUGUGUAAGUAACUGUGCACAUCUUGACGGUACCUAAUCAGAAAGCCACGGCUAACUACGUGCCAGCAGCCGCGGUAAUACGUAGGUGGCAAGCGUUAUCCGGAAUUAUUGGGCGUAAAGCGCGCGUAGGCGGUUUUUUAAGUCUGAUGUGAAAGCCCACGGCUCAACCGUGGAGGGUCAUUGGAAACUGGAAAACUUGAGUGCAGAAGAGGAAAGUGGAAUUCCAUGUGUAGCGGUGAAAUGCGCAGAGAUAUGGAGGAACACCAGUGGCGAAGGCGACUUUCUGGUCUGUAACUGACGCUGAUGUGCGAAAGCGUGGGGAUCAAACAGGAUUAGAUACCCUGGUAGUCCACGCCGUAAACGAUGAGUGCUAAGUGUUAGGGGGUUUCCGCCCCUUAGUGCUGCAGCUAACGCAUUAAGCACUCCGCCUGGGGAGUACGACCGCAAGGUUGAAACUCAAAGGAAUUGGCGGGGACCCGCACAAGCGGUGGAGCAUGUGGUUUAAUUCGAAGCAACGCGAAGAACCUUACCAAAUCUUGACAUCCUUUGACAACUCUAGAGAUAGAGCCUUCCCCUUCGGGGGACAAAGUGACAGGUGGUGCAUGGUUGUCGUCAGCUCGUGUCGUGAGAUGUUGGGUUAAGUCCCGCAACGAGCGCAACCCUUAAGCUUAGUUGCCAUCAUUAAGUUGGGCACUCUAAGUUGACUGCCGGUGACAAACCGGAGGAAGGUGGGGAUGACGUCAAAUCAUCAUGCCCCUUAUGAUUUGGGCUACACACGUGCUACAAUGGACAAUACAAAGGGCAGCGAAACCGCGAGGUCAAGCAAAUCCCAUAAAGUUGUUCUCAGUUCGGAUUGUAGUCUGCAACUCGACUACAUGAAGCUGGAAUCGCUAGUAAUCGUAGAUCAGCAUGCUACGGUGAAUACGUUCCCGGGUCU
rnacentral:rRNA from 1 species